UACGUAGGGGGCAAGCGUUGUCCGGAUUUAUUGGGCGUAAAGAGCGUGUAGGCGGCCAGACAGGUCCGUUGUGAAAACUCGAGGCUCAACCUCGAGACGCCGAUGGAAACCGUCUGGCUAGAGUCCGGAAGAGGCGAGUGGAAUUCCUGGUGUAGCGGUGGAAUGCGCAGAUAUCAGGAGGAACACCAAUAGCGAAGGCAGCUCGCUGGGACGGUACUGACGCUAAGGCGCGAAAGCGUGGGGAGCGAACAGG
rnacentral:rRNA from 1 species